rnacentral:lncRNA from 1 species
UAAGGAGUCUGAACCACCACAGAGGCAUCCUAUAGACAUAACUAAUGGUGCAGAGAGGACAAUGGCCCAGUUCGCAGCAUCAUCAAGCUUCUGAGUCGGGAAAGAUCUGAGGCUAGCCCCAGAAGGUCAGUAUCUGAGUUUACCUGAGAAGAAAUAUCUUGGACCAAGAUUAAGUCUCAUCAACAGUAAAGGAAUGCGCAAAACCACAAGGCUCCUGUUUACUCUGAAGAAGCCGCAACCAAUGAAGUCUGACAAUGGGGACUUGAGUUUGAAGUUGAUGACCUCUAGAUCAGUUGCAGCUCUAUGAUUCCAUGGUCAGAAUAUUACUAACAUUUUUUUUAUUGAGAUGUAAUUCACACACCACAAAAUUCAUCAUUUUAAUAUGAUUAAAUGAUUACUGGU